rnacentral:snRNA from 1 species
AACUUUGCGCAGUGGCGAUAUUCUAACCAAUGAUCGAAUAGAGAGGUGGAAUUAUUGCUAGUUGAAAACUAUUCCCAAUACCCCGCCUGGACGACGUGAAAUACCGUCGGCCAAGGCAAUUUCUGAAGGCUUCACACGAAG